rnacentral:rRNA from 1 species
AACGAACGCUGGCGGCAGGCUUAACACAUGCAAGUCGAGCGCCCCGCCAGGGGCGCGGCAGACGGGUGAGUAACGCGUGGGCACGUACCUUUUGGUUCGGAACAACUCCGGGAAACUGGAGCUAAUACCGGAUAAGCCCUAACGGGGAAAGAUUUAUCGCCGAAAGAUCGGCCCGCGUCUGAUUAGCUAGUUGGUGAGGUAACGGCUCACCAAGGCGACGAUCAGUAGCUGGUCUGAGAGGAUGAUCAGCCACACUGGGACUGAGACACGGCCCAGACUCCUACGGGAGGCAGCAGUGGGGAAUAUUGGACAAUGGGCGCAAGCCUGAUCCAGCCAUGCCGCGUGAGUGAUGAAGGCCUUAGGGUUGUAAAGCUCUUUUGUCCGGGAAGAUAAUGACUGUACCGGAAGAAUAAGCCCCGGCUAACUUCGUG